rnacentral:rRNA from 1 species
GAUGAACGCUGGCGGCGUGCCUAAUACAUGCAAGUCGUACGAACAGCGGAAAGUGCUUGCACUUUCCAAGUAAGUGGCGAACGGGUGAGUAACACGUGAAUAACCUACCUCAAAGACUGGGAUAACCAUUGGAAACAGUGACUAAUACCGGAUAAAACCCAGUAGCACAUGCUACAAGGUUAAAAGCUGCGUUUGCAGCGCUUUAAGAUGGAUUCGCGGUGCAUUAGUUAGUUGGUGAGGUAAAGGCUCACCAAGACAAUGAUGCAUAGCCGAGUUGAGAGGGUGAUCGGCCACAUUGGGACUGAGACACGGCCCAAACUCCUACGGGAGGCAGCAGUAGGGAAUCUUCGGCAAUGGACGAAAGUCUGACCGAGCAACGCCGCGUGAGUGAAGAAGGUUUUCGGAUCGUAAAGCACUGUUGUAUGGGAAGAAAUGCUAAAAUAGGGAAUGAUUUUAGUUUGACGGUACCAUACCAGAAAGGGACGGCUAAAUACGUGCCAGCAGCCGCGGUAAAAC